rnacentral:rRNA from 1 species
GACGAACGCUGGCGGCGUGCUUAACACAUGCAAGUCGAACGGAAAGGCCCUGCUUUUGUGGGGUGCUCGAGUGGCGAACGGGUGAGUAACACGUGAGUAACCUGCCCUUUACUUUGUGAUAACUUCAGGAAACUGGGGCUAAUACCGGAUAGGAGCUCCUGCUGCAUUGUGGUUGUUGGAAAGUUUCGGCGGUUGGGGAUGUACUCGCGGCUUAUCAGCUUGUUGGUGGGGUAGUUGCUUACCAAGGCUUUGACGGGUAGCCGGCCUGAGAGGGUGACCGGACAAAGUGGGACUGAGAUACGGCCCAGACGCAUACGGGAGGCAGCAGUGGGGAAAAUUGAAAAAAGGGCGGAAGCCUGAUGCAGCAACGCCGCGUGCGGGAUGACGGCCUUCGGGUGGUAAACCGCUUUAGCCUGUGACGAAGCGUGAGUGACGGUAAUGGGGAAAGAAGCACCGGCGAACUACGU